AAAAUUUAAAAUAAAAAUACUAAAAUAGUAAAUAAAUAUUUAUUGAAACUUAAAUGAUUUGGCGGUAUUUUAGUUCAUUUAGAGGAAUCUGUUUANUAAUUGAUAAUCCACGAAUAAAUUUACUUAAUUUAUAAUUUUAUAUAUCGUUGUUAAAAAAAUAUUUUUUAAUAAAAUUAAUAUUUAAAAAUUAAUAAAAUAAAUUAAAUCAGAUCAAGAUGUAGAUUAUAAUUAAGAAUAUAAUGGAUUACAAUAAAAUUAUUUAAACUAAUUUUAAUUUGUAAAAUUUAAUUGAAGGUGGAUUUAAAUGUAAUUUUAUUUAAUUUAAUAAAAUGAUUGAAAAUUAAAAUAUGC
rnacentral:rRNA from 1 species